rnacentral:lncRNA from 1 species
UAUUUUCUUCUCUUCGAUUCUUUAAUAAAAUCCUCAAAAAAUUAUUAGGUCGCUAAAAAUGAUUAAGUUAUAUUAAUAACUAAAUCAUAGCCUCCCAUUAAGUGAGUGAUAAUGAGUCCAUUAGUUUAAUAAUCAUUGGAGGCCCAAAGGCCUGGUGCUUAUUGACUAAUGAAAUUAUCAUUCAUAAUAUGAUAAUUUGGUUUGAGUCUUUCUGAUGGUGGUCAGGUUGGCCGGCCAAAGUC